GACGAACGCUGGCGGCGUGCUUAACACAUGCAAGUCGAACGGAAAGGCCCUGCUUUUGUGGGGUGCUCGAGUGGCGAACGGGUGAGUAACACGUGAGUAACCUGCCCUUGACUUUGGGAUAACUUCAGGAAACUGGGGCUAAUACCGGAUAGGAGCUCCUGCUGCAUGGUGGGGGUUGGAAAGUUUCGGCGGUUGGGGAUGGACUCGCGGCUUAUCAGCUUGUUGGUGGGGUAGUGGCUUACCAAGGCUUUGACGGGUAGCCGGCCUGAGAGGGUGGCCGGCCACAUUGGGACUGAGAUACGGCCCAGACUCCUACGGGAGGCAGAAGUGGGGAAUAUUGCACAAUGGGCGGAAGCCUGAUGCAGCAACGCCGCGUGCGGGAUGACGGCCUUCGGGUUGUAAACCGCUUUCGCCUGUGACGAAGCGUGAGUGACGGUAAUGGGUAAAGAAGCACCGGCUAACUACGUG
rnacentral:rRNA from 1 species